AGAUAGUGAAGGCGUUAAAAAUAAGAUAGUGGAAUAGAAAUCACACUAAAACAUAACCAGAUUUUGAAGAAGACCUUAUGUAUAAGUCAUCUUUCAUAUUAAAAAAAAUCAUCUUUAUGUGUCAAAAUCCUAAAUUAAUAUCGGAUGGGAAUAAAAGAUAAUCCUAUGGAUGGAGUGACAGUAACCUGCGUGUUAGUAGAUCCUUCCACUGGGUUUGCAGUUUUGAUCAGCGCCCCAGACAUGUGACGGAUCUCACUGAUUUUGGCGCCUUGAUGUUCGAUUACGCAGCCAAUCAAAUCGUUUGGAAUGGUGAGUUCUUGAGAAGUAGUCUGAGCAGAUGCAUCCAAACCACUGAAUCCGGUGUUGUCAUGCAUCAUGGGAAAAUGAGACUGUUGCACUGCCAACUGGUGCAGCUUGGUCAAAUCUGGCUGUGGAAUGGCAUACUGUCCUUGAAUGGUAUAGGCCUGACCACCUGCAAAGAUGAUCGGAGAACUGGACAGCUUGGGCCGGUACGGGAUGGUCACGCCCUUCUGGGGGUACUACAACAUGAUGACGCACAUCUGUUUCACACACUCAAUGAUGGAUUGCGGGAUGCCAGCAAUAGUAAUGGCCCGCUCAGUGGAGAUGGGAAGCAUGCCCCCUGCCACCUGGACCUGAGCCCCUGUACUCUCUUGAAUCUCUUGAUCUUGCAACCACCUUUUCCAAUGAGAGAGCCACACUCACUAGCAGGGACCACCAGUCUCAGGGCGACUGGGGGUCUGCUGGCAGCUGUUCUGUUGGUCAUAGAGCUGCUGAUGUCCUCUUCCAAUUUGUCAGGAAUCACAGCAAAGCCUUUGAAGAUGGCAUUAGUGGGUCCAGCCAAAGUGAUAAUUCUCUCAGGACAAUUCUCUUCUGAGAUGUUGAUACAUGCACCACUCUCCUCGCGCAUCUUAACUGAUUCUCCUUUCUUUCUGAUGAUACUGCCAACUUCUUUUCCAUUUAUAAGUAGCCGGAUGGUGACAGUGACAUAUAAUCCACCUCCAAUCUCACUCGUGCCCAUGUGGAGCAGUGUUCUGGGAGCUGGACUUUGGUCAAGUCUUUGGUCACUGGUGGGAGGUGAAAGCCAAAAACUGCAGGUGCGAGGCGACUGAGCCGAAAAGGGGAGCGGGUGGGAAGAGGAAGGGCAGGAGGCCGGGGGGGCGGGGGGGGAAUAGAGGUGGGCGGGAAGGCAAGCGCUCCCCUCCCCCGCACCCCACGAGAGGAAGUUGGG
rnacentral:lncRNA from 1 species